UACGUAGGUCCCGAGCGUUGUCCGGAUUUAUUGGGCGUAAAGCGAGCGCAGGUGGUUUAUUAAGUCUGGUGUAAAAGGCAGUGGCUCAACCAUUGUAUGCAUUGGAAACUGGUAGACUUGAGUGCAGGAGAGGAGAGUGGAAUUCCAUGUGUAGCGGUGAAAUGCGUAGAUAUAUGGAGGAACACCGCUGGCGAAAGCGGCUCUCUGGCCUGUAACUGACACUGAGGCUCGAAAGCGUGGGGAGCAAACAGG
rnacentral:rRNA from 1 species